CACACCGGUACAGACGAAACACAGCUCGCAGUAGUAUUCGUGCAGUGGUAGGGGAGUUGGUGUGCUGCUGGUUUCAGCAAAACGCUAGCGAUUCGGUUCAGCGAGGUCCGCACUUCGAUCACACGCCGGACGUGCCGUUGAACAUCGCUACGCAAACAACUCAGCAGCCCCUUACGGUCCAGAUUCAGCGCGUCC